AACGAACGCUGGCGGCAGGCCUAACACAUGCAAGUCGAACGCUCCGCAAGGGAGUGGCGCACGGGUGAGUAACACGUGGGAACCUACCUUCUGGUACGGAACAACCAAGGGAAACUUUGGCUAAGACCGUAUACGACCUCCGGGUGAAAGAUUGAUCGCCGGAAGAGGGGCCCGCGUCCGAUUAGGUAGUUGGUGAGGUAACGGCUCACCAAGCCUUCGAUCGGUAGCUGGUCUGAGAGGAUGACCAGCCACACUGGGGACUGAGACACGGCCCAGACUCCUACGGGAGGCAGCAGUGGGGAAUAUUGGACAAUGGGCGCAAGCCUGAUCCAGCCAUGCCGCGUGAGUGAUGAAGGCCUUCGGUUG
rnacentral:rRNA from 1 species